CGCGGUAUCCGAACCGUGCUAAGGUAGCAUAAUAAAUAGUCUUUUAAUUGAGGUCUAGUAUGAAUGGUCGGACAUGAAGUAAGCUGUUUUAGCUGUACAGCUUGAAUUUUACCUUUAAGUGAAAAGGCUUAAAUUUGAUGGUGGGACGAUAAGACCCUAUAAAGCUUUACAUUUUACUUGCCAGUUAGAAGAAAUUAUGGUUUUCUAUUCUUGUGAAGUUUAAAUGUUUCGUUGGGGCGACGAGAAUAUAAAAUAAUAACUGUUUUUAUUUUUAAAAUAGGUUUUUUAGGAGAGUUGAUCCUUUUUAGAGAUUAUAAGAUUUAAGUUACUUUAGGGAUAACAGCGUGAUUUUUCUUGAGAGUUCAUAUCGACAGAUAUAGUUGCGACCUCGAUGUUGAAUUAAGAUGCCCCCUAGGUGUAGCAGUUUUGGAGGUAGGUCUGUUCGACCUUUAAAAUCUUACAUGAUUUGAGUUCAGACCGGCGUG
rnacentral:rRNA from 1 species